AAAUAAAGCAGCGCGAAACUUCGAUAAAAAUAACUAAUAAAAACACUAGUCUUAACGGUGAAGCCCUUAAACUGCAAUUAUUCCUGGCAACUUCGCUCAAAACAACAACACACAAACUUUGCGAGCUGCAACGAAACCCCAAACAGACAAUGCUUGGAAGCGCAGUGUUUACAAAAAUGCUUGCCACAACAACAGCAACAGGCAUGCUAGUACAUACAAAUACAGGUACACAAAUACACACAUACAUACAUACUCGAGCACACACACACACACACUUACGAGUGGCGAAUGUAUGCAAAUAACACACCCACUUACCACACCUUAAACAACAAGAAAAACAUAGCCGAAACCAACAACAACUGCUUGCAACAGCAGUGGCAGCAAUGAAGGCAACAGCAGCAACAACAACAAAGCAAAGGCGAUGCACAAAAGAGGCAAUAAUGACAGAGCAACAGCAGCAGCUGCUGGCGAAGGCCAUCGCCACCGCCCCUAUCAGUGUUAUCAGCUUAUUUCAUACAAUAACAAAAACAACAACAGCAAAAAGUAGUUCUGGAAGGCUACAGAGCUUACGCUCAAAUGGCAUGCAACACGUGACAGCGUAAACGGUGAGCAAAUUGAGUGCGAGAGCCAACAAUUGAGUGAGAGUGUCAGCACUUGAGUGCGUGAGCGGUCGGCGAGUGACGACAGCAUUGCCAGCUGUCAGCGUUAAACAACAAAAACAAGCAGCGAAUAGUUGUAAUGGAACGCAGAGAGCGGCAUUUAGCCUCGCGCUCACGGAACACAAACGCUCACUUGAGACCGCCAGUAAUGAGCGCUCACUCAUUUCCCAUUCAACGUGUUGCUUCCUAAAAGUAUGCUUUGAAAAAAAUAUAUUAUAUUUCAAAAAAACGAAGUCACACGAACACACACGACGAGCGCGCUGAUAAGAAGUGUAAGCACGAAGCAGUGGCCGCGACGGUGGCGACAUCAAGGGCAGCAAAGCUCGUACGAAAGGGCGAACUUGAAACGAACGAGUGGCACGCGAAACGCCAGCAGUAAUGCGAACACAACAGAUGCUGAUUACUGUUGCUGCACUGCUCGACGCCGCUGCGAGGACCACUUUCUUAAAGCUGCUGGCAGCUGGCAGCGCGCCUAGUAAAUUGAGCAUUGGCCAAGCCGCAAUGUAAAGUGCGGCAGAGCAGAGCAGCUGAAGACUUGACUGGACCAACGAGGAUUCAGUUUAUAAUUUCCCACGCAACGGUGUAGUUGAUAGCGCUUCCGAGCUGAAGCUGAAGCAAAAGCUUAGUGGACUUAUAUACAACAUUACCACACACACACACACUCAAACCAAGUACAAUAGUUAUCAAAUCAAAAUAAGCUGAGAUGAGCAACAACAACAAAACUAUUUUUAUUGUAGGUUAUAAAACAACAAAACUAAAAUUAAACUACAGUCUAUCUGUUAGCAAAUCUAACCUCAUUUUCAUUUGUUAUUCAUGCCAAAAAUUCAUUAAAAAUUCUGAAAACUUAAUAAUAAUGACUUAAGCACUUUUUGUAAAUAAUGCAAACUGACAAGUAAACGGUUUCUUUAAAGCAUGUAAGCACAAAGUAUUUUUUAUAAGUGAAAAAGUGGCCAAAUGUGAAGUGGAAAAUAAAAAAGUGUAAAUAAUUAACGAAAUAAAAUAAAAAAAAAAUCAAAAUUAAAAAAAAAAAAUCAAAAACCAAAUCAAAUAAAAUAUAAUAGAAAAGAACAAUUUACAACUACUUUACAAAAUAAAAUUAAGGCGUAAUUUAAUUAUAAUAAACAUAUUGUUUGAAAAACUUUGAGAGGCAUCAGCGGCAGAAGGUAAGGUGGCGUUUAGAAAUAUAAAGAAGAAUAAGGUAAAAUUAAAAAAAA
rnacentral:lncRNA from 1 species